ACUUUUUGUGAUUCAGACCAAACUGUGAAGCAUCAGCAGAGCUCACUCCAAAUGCAGUUUCAGAGGCAUGCGUUUGCAAGUUAUUUUGACCCUCAGAAAUCGGCAUUUUUCCAAAUGCAGUUUCAGAGGCAUGCGUUUGCAAGUUAUUUUGACCCUCAGAAAUCGGCAUUUGAUAUGAAGCAUACAAUGCCUUUGUUGUCUCAUCCUCACUAAAGUCACAAGAAUUCAUCCCAGGCCUAACAACAAAUUUAGCAGAGCAAUGAGGCAAUAAAACACGGCGCACAAAAAAGUAUGCACAAACUAAGUCUACAACUAGCAUAAUAUGAUCGUGCAUAUGAACAAGUAACUUACAGCCAAUAUGAACAAGUAACUUACAGCCAAUAUGAACAAGCAACUUACAGCCAAUAUGAACAAGCAACUUACAACCAAUAUGAACA
rnacentral:lncRNA from 1 species